AAUGGGCGAAAGCCUGAUGCAGCAACGCCGCGUGAGCGAAGAAGGCCUUUGGGUCGUAAAGCUCUGUCGAGAAGGAAGAUAAUGACGGUACUUCUCGAGGAAGCCCCGGCUAACUACGUGCCAGCAGCCGCGGUAAUACGUAGGGGGCGAGCGUUAUCCGGAAUUAUUGGGCGUAAAGAGUGCGUAGGUGGUUGUUUAAGCGUGGGGUGAAAGGCAAUAGCUCAACUAUUGUAAGCCCCGCGAACUGGGCGACUUGAGUGCAGGAGAGGAAAGCGGAAUUCCUAGUGUAGCGGUGAAAUGCGUAGAUAUUAGGAGGAACACCAGUGGCGAAGGCGGCUUUCUGGACUGUAACUGACACUGAGGCACGAAAGCGUGGGGAGCAAA
rnacentral:rRNA from 1 species